CCUACGUGCGGCAGCAGUGAGGAAUAUUGGUCAAUGGCCGGAAGGCUGAACCAGCCAUGCCGCGUGAAGGUCAGUGCCCUAUGGGCGUUAAACUUCUUUUGUGCGGAAGCAAUAAUGGUCACGUGUGGCCAGACGAGAGUACCGUACGAAUAAGCAUCGGCUAACUCCGUGCCAGCAGCCGCGGUAAUACGGGGGAUGCAAGCGUUAUCCGGAUUUAUUGGGUUAAAAGGGUGCGUAGGCUGUGAGGUAAGUCAGCGGUGAAAUGCCCCCGCUCAACGGGGUGAAGUGCCAUUGAUACUGCCUUGCUGGAAUGCGGAUGUCGUGGGAGGAAUGUGUGGUGUAGCGGUGAAAUGCAUAGAUAUCACACAAAACACCGAUUGCGAAGGCAUCUCACGAAUCCGCGAUUGACGCUGAUGCACGAAAGCGUGGGUAUCAAACAGGAUUAGAUACCCCAGUAGUC
rnacentral:rRNA from 1 species